rnacentral:snoRNA from 1 species
CCCCUUUUCUCACCCAUCAGCUCUAAACACUGGACCGAGUGGUUAUACAAGGAGGAAAAGUAACACCGAAACUGACUUCAGUUCUUCUGUGACACACAGUUAAUUUAAAAGAAUU